ACGAGUCUUUCUGUUUGCUAUUUAUGAAAUCACUAUGUCCUUAGACAUCCUAAUUUGCCAGUGUGAGAGGUGAACUGGCUUUUGUCUUGCUCUGAGUGGUACUAUUAGAAAACUGCCUAUAGGCCUUCAAUGACUACAUUUGCUUCAAACUAAUAAAUCCCAUAUUUGUAAUGAAAUGGAGAGAGAAAACUUAAAAAUUAGGCUUCCUCCUCUUCUGUUUUGUGUGACAGCCUUUUCCCCUUCUGGAGCCUUGAAAACACAGCUUGAUAUUGAGAGGUGUGGGGCAGUUACUUGGGAAAGCUUUGGAUUCUUAGUAUGGGAGGAGAUCCAACAGCCUUCAUUGAGUUCCUUCAAAGAGUAAUCUAACUGCAGGCAAACAAAGAGGAGUUAAAGAAAACUAUGUGAGUUUUACUUGCCCUUUAGAGAAUUCCUUUUUCAUUUCCUCCUCUCUAAAGAGGUGACAAAACCUGCCAACACCAUAUUUUUUCAAAGAUACAGAAUAAAAGGCAAUGUUUUAGACAAAGACAAUGAUUGUAGUCAAGUAUGUGGGAGAGCUAAUUCCACAUAAAGAGAGGUUAUAGAAACAACAAGUAUGCAGUAAUCAAAAAAAGAAAAGAGCUAGAGUAACCCUAAAAUGGUGCACAGAGGACUGGUCCAGAAUUCUUAUUUAUUCUGAAUGGCAGAAGCAGAACAAGAAAGCAUUGCAUGAAAAAGAAAUAUAUUUGUAGUGCAAAAGAUGGUACAGGAAAUCAGCUUUUAUUUAACAUACUAUUUAACAACACUCGUUACAGAAUAUUGAGACUAUUGACUUUGUAAAAUAUAAAGUAAAAGGAUUCAGGCUUAAAUGAAUACAAGUAACAUCUGUACUUUUCUCUAAGGUAAAAUAGAAAUCAAAACCAGAACGGGUAUAAUAGUCUGAUGACCACCGGGGAAGAGAAGGAGUCUCCCACCUUUGGUUUUCGUAUUUCAAGAUCUCAGUUACCAGUUCAUGGCAGAGAACUGAUGCAAGGGCAGCCAUGGGAAAGGCUGGAUUCCAAACCUGCUCCUUGCAGUAGCUGGCAAGACUCGACAUUUGGUGGACAUGUGGUACCCCUCUAUGUUGUGGAAAAGGCUGCUGGACUGGGAAGACAAGAUUUUCAGGAGCAUCGUGAGAGGUUUCCCAGUCCAUCAUCCUGUCUGUAUCUGGGAUGGUCCCUGGUGCUGACAAACUCCGGAGCAAGCUGA
rnacentral:lncRNA from 1 species